rnacentral:snRNA from 1 species
GACGUGCAAAUCGUUCGUCUG